CCUUCUGUAUUUCCACCCCUUGCGUUACAGUAAACAUCACCCAAUGGUUAAGUUUCGGCAUUUCCACCCCUUGCUUGGAUUUCUGCGUUACCACCCCUUGCGUUGCAGUACUUCCCCAAUCCCUAUCUCGAAGGUUAGAAGCAAGCCCGAACAUGGAGGAAACUUCGAAGUGCUCCGAUCACGAAUUUUCUUGGAUGGAUAGGAAGCUCUCGUCGCGUAGAACAACUUUAAUACUUGGGAUUUUUUCAAAAUCUCUUUCUAUGGAGAUGAAAUCAAAGAGAGAAGUUUGGAGGAGAGGUGAGAGAGAGCCGGCCGGGAGAGUGGAGAGA